UUCUUUAUGAGAGCGUUACCCCUCUGCUGGGUAACUGAGCUCCACAUUCACAGUCCUGCCAUUCCCACGUCUCCACGGGGGGAUAAGCAGGGCCAAUGAAUUCCAUGCCAUGCCCUGGUUCGUGAGGCUGGUAGAAAUUCUUUGCAAUUUAAGACCACUGCUGUGACAUUACCUACAAGGCUUCUUUUCCAUGAAUCUGUUACAUCCAACAGUAGGAACCGGCGGGUCCGUGGCUGAUGGAUGCUACAAGUACUAACCAGCAACGAGAGCAUCUACCACAGCUGAACUACUGCUACAGGAAACUCAGUGUGAAAGUUGAUUAUGCAAAUUGCAUCAUUCUUGUCAUGCCCAACUAAAGAAGAGUUGACAGAGCAGCGGGAAAAAGUACUCAAGACACAGCACAUGCUCCAAGAAUUGAGUUUUCUCCAAGCCCAGCUGUUGAAACAGCCUGCUGUAACCAUAAGACCAGUUUUACUUAGCAGCUGCUGAAACAACCUGCUAUGACUUUAAGACUAGUUUUAUCUACUACCAUCACUCACCAAUCAGACCCGGGCAGCUCCCACAAGCUUCUCUAGGGUCAAUGAGCUUUCUUUCAAAACUGUAAGUAACAUUUCCCUUUCUAAUAAAACCCCCAAUCUUUCCUUUGUUCUUUGGACAUGCUGAAGACCACCCAGUCUGUUUGCAUGCCCCAAAUGUGAUUCUAUGAUUCCCAAAUAAAACAUUAAAUUUAGAGAUUUGUCUCUACAUUUUAUUUUGACUUUGACAUCAGCUUAAGUUUUUUUUUUUCCCACUUGCAUUUCUUGGCCUACAUGGUUUGGCAUAAUUUUAUUUUCUUUCCUGAAUCCUUCAUUACUUGAUUAGCAUUCCAUUGCUUACUGGUUUUAUACUUUGUAUGUGAGUCUUUUAUUGGAAAUGUCCUCAAAUCUGAGAAUUUAUACUCACCAGAUGUACACAUAUUAUAAAGGCAUUUAUGUCCAUAUAAUUUCCAGCACCUUGAAAUGAUGGAAAAUUAGAAACUUGCUCUAUGUCAACAUACACUGUUUAAAGUCUAUCUUUCCUGUUGAUGGUCAUCUCCAAGGAGAUCAGCAUAGGUCUGGUUUGUUUGAUUUUUUUAAACUACACUGCCUAACUAAAUCUCUGCAUUACUCAAGGUUUUAACAGAUAUUUUAAUUAAUUGGCUAAUUGUUUAUUUGUUACUUGUCAUGAGUUACAGAAAUCCAAGUAUGUUUCUCAAUUCAAUAAAAUUCCAAGUAGAAUUUCUUACCGAACUUUAGCCUUUCUACUAAAAGGGAAAUUGGAGAGAAUCCAAAUUCAAUAUUUUUAUGAACUCAAAGAUGUGAAUCUACAUUAUAAUAAAU
rnacentral:lncRNA from 10 species